rnacentral:tRNA from 1 species
CGAUGUCGUGGUCCGCGGCCCCGAGGGCUGCCUGUCCCUGCCGGGCAUCGAGGCGGGCACCCCGCGCUUCGACCGCGCGGUCGUCGA